rnacentral:rRNA from 1 species
CCUACGGGACGCAGCAGUGGGGAAUAUUGGGCAAUGGGCGCAAGCCUGACCCAGCAACGCCGCGUGAAGGAAGAAGGCUUUCGGGUUGUAAACUUCUUUUCUCAGGGACGAGGCAAGUGACGGUACCUGAGGAAUAAGCCACGGCUAACUACGUGCCAGCAGCCGCGGUAAUACGUAGGUGGCAAGCGUUAUCCGGAUUUACUGGGUGUAAAGGGCGUGUAGGCGGGCAUGCAAGCCAGAAGGGAAAUCUGGGGGCUUAACCCCCAAACUGCUUUUGGAACUGCGUGUGUUGAGUGAUGGGGAGG